ACACUUACCUGGCAGGGGAGAUACCAUGACCAGGAAGCUGGUUUUCCCAGCGUGAGGCUUAUCCAUUGCACUCCGCGGAUGUGCUGAUCCCUGCGAUUUUCCCGAAUGAAAAAGAAAAAAACAACACACUUUACUGCCCAACGUCUGCCCAUCUAACUUAUGUUUUUAUAACA
rnacentral:snRNA from 1 species